UACGUAGGCAGCGAGCGUUGUUCGGAAUUACUGGGCGUAAAGAGUGUGUAGGCGGUGCUCCCAGUCUGUUGUGAAAUCUCCCGGCUUAACUGGGAGGGUGCAGCGGAAACUAGAGUGCUAGAGGGUGGGAGAGGUAAGCGGAAUUCCUGGUGUAGCGGUGAAAUGCGUAGAUAUCAUUUGGAACGCCAAUGGUGAAAACAACUCGCUGGGGGUGUGCUGACGCUGAGGCGCGAAAGCGUGGGGAGCAAACAGG
rnacentral:rRNA from 1 species